CCAACAGUCCUUUUCAGGACUACAAAACCCUCAAGAAAGAUUACCGU
rfam:Strongylocentrotus purpuratus Contig38595_fixed, whole genome shotgun sequence.